UGGGGAAUAUUGCACAAUGGGCGCAAGCCUGAUGCAGCCAUGCCGCGUGUAUGAAGAAGGCCUUCGGGUUGUAAAGUACUUUCAGCGGGGAGGAAGGUGUUGAGGCUGAUAACCUCAGCAAUUGACGUUACCCGCAGAAGAAGCACCGGCUAACUCCGUGCCAGCAGCCGCGGUAAUACGGAGGGUGCAAGCGUUAAUCGGAAUUACUGGGCGUAAAGCGCACGCAGGCGGUCUGUCAAGUCGGAUGUGAAAUCCCCGGGCUCAACCUGGGAACUGCAUUCGAAACUGGCAGGCUAGAGUCUUGUAGAGGGGGGUAGAAUUCCAGGUGUAGCGGUGAAAUGCGUAGAGAUCUGGAGGAAUACCGGUGGCGAAGGCGGCCCCCUGGACAAAGACUGACGCUCAGGUGCGAAAGCGUGGGGAGCAAACA
rnacentral:rRNA from 1 species